CCUACGGGAGGCAGCAGUGGGGAAUAUUGCACAAUGGGGGAAACCCUGAUGCAGCGACGCCGCGUGAGGGAAGAAGUAUUUCUGUACGUAAAGCUCUAUCAACAGGGAAGAAAAUUACGGUACCUGCCUACUACGCCCCGGCUAACUACGUGCCAGCAGCGGCGGUAAUACGUAGGGGGCAAGCGUUAUCCGGAUUUACUGGGUGUAAAGGGAGCGUAGACGGCAGCGCAAGUCUGGAGGGAAAGCCCAUGGCUUAACCAUGGAACUGCUGUGGAAACUGUGAAGCUAGAGUGCAGGAGAGGUAAGCGGAAUUCCUAGUGUAGCGGUGAAAUGCGUAGAUAGUAGGAGGAACACCAGUGGCGAAGGCGGCUCACUGGACUGUAACUGACGCUGAGGCUCGAAAGCGUGGGGAGCAAACAGGAUUAGAUACCCCUGCAGUC
rnacentral:rRNA from 1 species